rnacentral:lncRNA from 1 species
AGAGGACCUACGCGGUCCGGACCUUGAUCCCAGGGUCCGGAUCCCGAACCUUGAAAAACUCAAUUUUUUCCAAUUUUUACAUUUAAAAUCCAUUUUAAGUCUCCCAAACACUUUUACAUGUGCAAAAUAUCACCACAAAUUAUUAACACACAUACCUGAGAUAACGAGCAUCACGAACGAAUCUUUUUAUCACGACUCACGCAAUCAUCGUCUUCGACUUUUCAAGACUCCAUUCGACUUCAAGAAAUCUGCCAACUUAGAAAAGUCCUUAACAAUCUCCCCCUUUGGCGAUUUCAUGGCAAAACAUAAUACAAUGCUCAUCCUAGUCUCAAAAAUAGAAAAAUCGGAAGAUCAUCGCAAUCACCAAACGACAAUCCCCUGCAUGAUCGAUCCAACAAAAAUAAAAUACAUUUCAAACAACCUAAAACAAACUCUAUGACUUAGACGUGACAUGGAGUCUUGAAGUCUUGAAAUCUCCUGCAAAACACAUCCUCC